rnacentral:rRNA from 1 species
GCGUGAGUGAAGAAGGCCUUAGGGUUGUAAAGCUCUUUCACCCGCGAAGAUGAUGACGGUAGCGGGAGAAGAAGCCCCGGCUAACUCCGUGCCAGCAGCCGCGGUAAUACGGAGGGGGCAAGCGUUGUUCGGAUUUACUGGGCGUAAAGGGCGCGUAGGCGGCUGCGCAUGUCAGGGGUGAAAGGCCUGGGCUCAACCUAGGAACUGCCCUUGAAACUGCGCGGCUAGAGUCCGAGAGAGGAUGGCGGAAUUCCCAGUGUAGAGGUGAAAUUCGU